GUGACGUCGGAUCUCUAGUCCUCCCAUACAAGUCGCCGCUCAACUCCAUCAUAAAUCGUGGAGUUGACUUUAAUCGGCUAAUGGGUGAGUUAACUUUAUUGCUAAAUCAUACAUUACUUACUUUUCCCGACAACGCUGCUAACAAAGACACUGGAAGCACAUCUGUCAAAGCUAUCACAUUCAGGCCUUGAUAACAUGCAAGAACUUAACUGAAAGAUUGCAUAGACACCAACUGGGAACAUGUCACAGCCAAAAUCCUGUCGAAGGACAGUGUGGCUCAAGUUGUCCGAGUGAUGAGAAGGACUGAGUGGCAGCAACUGGAGGUGAGACUGGCAAACCGAGAGACCAGCGUGGAGAAUGAACCGGAAAGCCGCCUCAGCUCAUGCACAGACCAGCUCAAUGACCUAAACACUGCAGCUGCCUUACCACAUACUGACCAUGGUCCAGGUGAUGCUGUGCAUGAGCGAGGAGGUUGGGGACGUGGUCCAAGAGAACGAGCAGAGUGAUGAGGAGGACGUGGAGGAAGAGGAGGACACUACAGCUUGAUGAAGAGGUGACAGCUGUAUCCCGUUUCAUGGAAGCUGCGCACGACUUGGAGUAUGAACUCACUAUGCUAACCGACAAUCAUCUCCAGGGAGAUGUGGAUUAGGGAGAGGUGUGGGCCACAGAGGAGGUGAAGGCCAGCCAGUGACCCUCUAGCCGGGGCACCCUGAAGCCGACUAAUCCCAGGGAGGGCCUGGGUGAAGAUCAGGAGGAGCUGGGGAGGAGGAUCUGUAGACCCAGGCAGAAGGGACAAUCUAAUCCCAUAACUGUUCACAGUACAGCAAAACCUUUAGUAAGGCGUGGAACCUGUGCCACCAUCUUAGUUAGAAGACAAAGUGUGAGGACAGAGGAGGAAGUUGAAUUGUCGCUGGGUCAUGGUUGCCCUCACUGUGGCCGAGGCGUUUGAAAACGGAAAGGUCUGGCAUCCCACCUGCUGAAUGACUGGGGCCAAAGCUUACACCUGAGAUUUGUGACCAGCACUUCACACGCCCUGAGUCUGUCAGCAAGCACUGCUGCCAACACAGCAGAGUCAAGCCCCACGGCUGCCCUCACUGCACCCAAAGGCUUCUACCUGGUAAGAGACAACAAUGCACCCCAGCCCAACCCAAGCCUAAACUGUUCAUGUGUACUGACUGUGGUAAGGCUUUUUCCAGGCCGGUGCAGAUGGCUGUCAACGAGAGCACCCACCGGGGAGUGAGCCUUUGAGUGUUCUAUCACUGCUCUAAGGGGUUCCGCUGCACCAAUCACCUGGUCACCCACUCCGUGUAGCACCAUUACGCACACCUGUCACCAUCAUUACGCGCAUCUGCAAAAUAUUGGACUCAACUGGAUUUUGUUGAUUGCCCCUCUAUAUCUGUCUGCUCCUCAGUUUGUUCCCCGUGUCAGCAUUAUUGUCAUUAUGUCUUCCCUGUCCAGACGCUGUCCUUGUUUGUUUCUUGGCGGUUUUAUAAAUGUUCACUCCCUGUACUUGCUUCUCGUCUCCUAGCGUCUGUCCUUACAGUGUGUAUCAAGAAUGUUCCACCACCCAAAGGACAUCUAGGCAAUUUGACACAACUGUGGGAAGCAUUGGCGUCAACAUGGGCCAUCAUCCCUGUGGAAUUCUUUCAAUACCUUGUAGUCCAUGCCCUGACGAACUGAGGCUGUUCUGAGGGCAAAAGGUGGAGGUACAACUCAAUAUUAGGAAGGUGUUCCUAAUGUUUGGUAUACUCAUUGUAUAUAGGCUUGUGGGUAUGGAUGUUUUGAAUUAUUCAUCACUUUAGAAAGCCCUGUCCAUUUCGAUGUGUUUGUCUUUGAAACAACAUCCAUAAAAAACAUGUUUUCCACUCAGUUUCAACCUGUUGUCCCCCAUCAUUAGCAAUCUGACAGUCGUUAGCGAGUUGGGUACUGAACACAUGUCCAACGUGGAAUUUGACUGCGGUCGUAACUCAUGACUACCGGUGUAGCGGUAAUAUGAUCACCGCAACAGCCCUACUCCAGACUAUAGCUCCAAAACCAGUUGUAGUUGUACAGGCUAAAUCAUCCUCUAAAUCCUCCUGGCAUCUGGGAAACUAAGCCAGGGUGGGGUUAAGACAACAACCCCCAUGUAGAUAACGACAGGAUGAACCCAGCGUGGCUUAUGAUGCCCCUUGGUCUGCAUCGGAGGGGUGGAACCAGCCAUGAGUUCAGUUAAUAAGAGUGUUCUUAAGUGAGGUAUCCUUGGGCAUGAUUGUUAAUUAGCCAGUUGCGGGUAACCAAAAGUCCAGCCCCUAGUACUGAAUUGAUCACAGUAGGACUGGUAACCUGCGGGGCACUAGUCCUGGAGAAGUUCUAUUCGAUGAGGGACCUGCACCUGUAAUUAUAAUGUGUUAUGUUAGUUAUCUGUUUAUGUGUUUUAACAGACA
rnacentral:lncRNA from 8 species